AAUUCAUACUGUGGCUUGAUACAUAAUGUGUCUUUGACGCAUGUUAACAAGUUGUGAAUAUUUACUUUAAAUAUAUGAGCAUUUUGCCUAUGCAACACGUUCGCUCCCAAGGAAAUCAUGCUUGGUGAGUGGAGUUCUGAAUAUCCUAAACAGUUGAAGCUAGUGGGAGUUACUAUGGUUGAUUUCCUUGGUCCUUAGUUGAAACUCAUUUUUGGCUUUAUUGCCAUACAUGUCUAAUUAAUAAUAUGCGAGGAAAAUGAAACUUUUGGACAUUCUUCAAUCUCUAACUUGUUGAUGUCUCUACUUUUGGUCUUCAGGUUGACAUUGAAAUGGUGUUUUUAGUCCCAGUUCUAAGGCAGGUUAAUCAUUUGGGGACCAAAAGCACCUAUUGGUAGUUAACCUGAAGAUCAAAAGUGGAGAUGCUUGGAUUGAGUCCACUGUACCUAUAAUUGAGUUGCUUUCCCAUAAUAUAUGCAUGGAUCUUACAAAGGACCAUGCUUAAAGAUAGUCAGAUCUAUCAGGACUUCCAAAAUGCCACUAAACAGUCUUUCAGCAGCACUUAGGCUCUAGUCUCUAAUAUCUCCCUUUCUCCCAAUAAAAAAGAUCAUGUUGGCCCAA